rnacentral:misc_RNA from 1 species
UUUCCGUAGGUGAACCUGCGGAAGGAUCAUUCAUAAUAAAGUGUUUUAUGGCACUUUUUAAAAAUCCUUAUCCACCUUGUGUGCAAUGUUAGAUCUCGUCAAUCUUGGCGAGAUUUUUAUACAUCAACUCAUUCUUUAACUAAUUUGUCUGAAAAAUAUUAUGAAUACUUAAUUCAAAAUACAACUUUCAACAACGGAUCUCUUGGCUCUC